rnacentral:lncRNA from 1 species
CUAGCCCCAGGCCACAGCAGCUGGCUGGGCUCUGCUUACUUAGUUUUCUUUCAGCAGAAUCACAGAAUCAUCUAGGUUGGAAGAGACCUCCAAGAUCAUCUAGCCCAACCUUUAACCUAACCAUGGGCUGUACCCUCAAUAGCAACAGAGGUAAACCCACAUCUCCUGACAAUGCUGGUGCUUUAGAAAUGAGGGGAGAGAAACCCAGGGCCUGGCUCUGUUAGGGCAGAAAUAAAAACCUUAACGCACCGGGGUUGGAUGGUGCCACAUAAAUACUGACUGGAGUUUCCAGCAUGGAGGCGGGUGAAAGGGUUAAAGUCAGAACUGGUGCUUGCUCCUCCAUGGCAUUAUCUGUGUGAUUGCUUUUCAUAUCUUGUUUACUGUGGUUAGCAGAGCAGCUAUAAUAUAGAGUGCUAGAUGCAAUAAAUCUUGUCGCUGCGAACAGCACACUUCUCAUCAGAGCUCUGGGAACUGCAAGGUAAGCAUUCGAAGGCAAUCUAUAGAUUUAAUUAUACAGAAAGUCUAACCUGCGUAGAUCUUACAGGAAGCUAUAACCAUGAAGACUGUUAUGUUCGGUUUUAUUUGUAUUAUGUAUAUUAUUCCAUUUUAGUUGUUCUGAGGACGCGGACAACAGCACUGACGGUGUGGUGCCUGCUGUGGUUGUGUAUCAGUAUGGAAAAGCCAAAGCUGCUGGUAAUUUAAGGGAUAGAUGUGUAUGGCCAUGUAGAGAGUUAUGGCUUCUUUAAAGAUGCGGAUACACACCAGCCUUUGGUCUGGCAAAUGGGGAUCUAGCUAUACAGUUGCCAACAGGUUUGCUUUUAGGAAGAAAAGCUCACAGGCACGUACCAAAGGGGAGCAAAGCACUUUGUGCUCCUGCCUUCUGCAGUGGCGAGGAGGACACCAGAGCUCGUCCCGGGGACGGGGCUGCUCCCUGUGCAGCUAACAGCCAGGAGCAUCAGUGCCAUCGUACCUGCUGCUGCUAAAAUCGAGGAGCUUCAUCCUUUAAUGUCACCGGCAGCCGGAGGGGCUGUCUGCGUGACUGCAGCUUCUGAGGAGCUGGCAAAUGUCAGCCCAUCACAGGGAGCGGGGGUUAAGUUUUAAUCAGCGGGCCAGCAUCCUCUCCUAAUUUAUUUUCCUUCAUUUAGACAGGAUUUGCUGGAUGGCAUGCGAUCCUGUGAAUAUUUAUAAUGAGAAAUUUUUCUUGCUGCUCCUCUGAUUAACUAAUUUGGUGCUUCCCAAGGACAUGCACAGCGAAGGUCAAAGCUGAAAAGGCCCCAUCCUGUCCUGGCACUUUCCUUCGGGCAUCGUCCGAGUGGUACCAGGCAUGACUUCGGCUCAUCUGCACACUUGCUAGGAAGGGUUUUUCCUCAUCUGUGCAACACCUCCUUGUUCCGAGUGUGCUUCGUAUCACCACAACCUCAUCCAAAAUAAUCUCAAGACAGCAGAAAGGCAUUUUAGUGGGCUUAGGUCAGGCCCAGAGUGAGUCAACUGCAGCAAAUGAACUCCCAUUUGCUAAUGCAGUCUUAUAAUAGUCGAGCUGCACACAGGCACUUGGCAAUUGUAGUUAAGUCAUAAAAAAAAGAAAAAAUGCAGUUAUUUUUUAAUACUGUAUACUUCAAUUAUGGUAAGAAUAUACUAAAUCUCUGGUUAGAAAUACCUUGAGUGGCUUGGCUAAUGCUGGCAGGGAAGAUAUAAUUUACAGCAGAUGACAUGUAGCCAGCUGGUUUCACAGCCUUCCUUACUGCCCAGCGAUGCAAAACCAAAAU